GACGUAGGAGGCGAGCGUUGUCCGGAUUCAUUGGGCGUAAAGAGCUCGUAGGCGGUUUGUCGCGUCUGCCGUGAAAGUCCGGGGCUCAACUCCGGAUCUGCGGUGGGUACGGGCAGACUAGAGUGAUGUAGGGGAGACUGGAAUUCCUGGUGUAGCGGUGAAAUGCGCAGAUAUCAGGAGGAACACCGAUGGCGAAGGCAGGUCUCUGGGCAUUAACUGACGCUGAGGGGCGAAAGCAUGGGGAGCGAACAGG
rnacentral:rRNA from 1 species